UGCAAGUCGAGGGGUAUAGUUCUUCGGAAUUAGAGACCGGCGCACGGGUGCGUAACGCGUAUGCAAUCUACCUUUCACAGAGGGAUAGCCCAGAGAAAUUUGGAUUAAUACCUCAUAGUAUAGCAGUUUCGCAUGAAACCACUAUUAAAGUCACAACGGUGAAAGAUGAGCAUGCGUCCCAUUAGCUAGUUGGUAAGGUAACGGCUUACCAAGGCUACGAUGGGUAGGGGUCCUGAGAGGGAGAUCCCCCACACUGGUACUGAGACACGGACCAGACUCCUACGGGAGGCAGCAGUGAGGAAUAUUGGACAAUGGGCGCAAGCCUGAUCCAGCCAUGCCGCGUGCAGGAUGACGGUCCUAUGGAUUGUAAACUGCUUUUGCACAGGAAGAAAUAACGCUACGUGUAGCGUCUUGACGGUACUGUGAGAAUAAGGAUCGGCUAACUCCGUGCCAGCAGCCGCGGUAAUACGGAGGAUCCAAGCGUUAUCCGGAAUCAUUGGGUUUAAAGGGUCCGUAGGCGGUUUAGUAAGUCAGUGGUGAAAGCCCAUCGCUCAACGGUGGAACGGCCAUUGAUACUGCUAGACUUGAAUUAUUAGGAAGUAACUAGAAUAUGUAGUGUAGCGGUGAAAUGCUUAGAGAUUACAUGGAAUACCAAUUGCGAAGACAGGUUACUACUAAUGGAUUGACGCUGAUGGACGAAAGCGUGGGUAGCGAACAGGAUUAGAUACCCUGGUAGUCCACGCCGUAAACGAUGGAUACUAGCUGUUGGGAGCGAUCUCAGUGGCUAAGCGAAAGUGAUAAGUAUCCCACCUGGGGAGUACGUUCGCAAGAAUGAAACUCAAAGGAAUUGACGGGGGCCCGCACAAGCGGUGGAGCAUGUGGUUUAAUUCGAUGAUACGCGAGGAACCUUACCAAGGCUUAAAUGUAGAUUGACCGGACUGGAAACAGUUUUUUCGCAG
rnacentral:rRNA from 1 species